UACAGAGGGUGCGAGCGUUAAUCGGAAUUACUGGGCGUAAAGCGUGCGUAGACGGCUAUCUAAGUCGGGUGUGAAAGCCCCGGGCUCAACCUGGGAAUUGCAUUCGAGACUGAAUAGCUAGGGUACGGUAGAGGGAAGUGGAAUUUCCGGUGUAGCGGUGAAAUUCGUAGAUAUCGGGAGGAACACCAGUGGCGAAGGCGGCGACCUGGACGGACACUGACGCUGAGACGCGAAAGCGUGGGGAGCAAACAGG
rnacentral:rRNA from 1 species